UACGUAGGGGGCUAGCGUUGUCCGGAAUCAUUGGGCGUAAAGCGCGUGUAGGCGGUCCGGUAAGUCCGCUGUGAAAGUCAAGGGCUCAACCCUUGAAUGCCGGUGGAUACUGCAGGGCUAGAGUCCGGAAGAGGCGAGUGGAAUUCCUGGUGUAGCGGUGGAAUGCGCAGAUAUCAGGAGGAACACCAAUAGCGAAGGCAGCUCGCUGGGACGGUACUGACGCUAAGGCGCGAAAGCGUGGGGAGCGAACAGG
rnacentral:rRNA from 1 species